CGUUCGCGCUUCCGCCGGCGACCCGGCGCACGGGUGAGUAACACGUAUGGAACCUGCCCGCAGCAGGGGGAUAAUCGGGGGAAACCCCGUCUAAUACCGCGUAACGACCCGGAGGGGCAUCCCUUCGGGUCCAAAGGUUUACCGGCUGCGGAUGGCCAUGCGUCGCAUUAGCUUGUUGGCGGGGUAACGGCCCACCAAGGCGACGAUGCGUAGGGGUUCUGAGAGGAAGGUCCCCCACACUGGUACUGAGACACGGACCAGACUCCUACGGAAGGCAGCAG
rnacentral:rRNA from 1 species